CGGACGAGUACAGGAGAGACGAGUUGGACACUACGAGAAAGAGACAGCAAGAGCAAGGACAAGGCAGCGGGUCGGUAGGGGGAAGGAGAGAGAAAGAGUAGACACGCAUCAAGGGCGCCACCACCAGCAGCCACUGGUGCGAGGGGAAGUCGGCACCGGUCCUCUGGCCCACGUCGGGGUGGGAGGGAGCCGAGGACGCUGGCUUCGCGGCCGGGCUCGCGAGCGGGAGAAGGUGAGGCUGUCGGUUUAGUGGGCCUAGGGCGCAGGAGAAGGUGAGGCCGCUGGCCUAGGGGAGCUCAAACGCCUUGUGGCCUAGACAGGUCCCGCUCCAGGAACAGGUGCCUAGGCCGGCCCUCUUUAGUAAAAGAAGUAACAAAGGCAGCCGCUCCGACCUAGUGUGGAGUAUAAACAGAAUCCAAGUCAAGUUGAUUCUUACGUUCUACUGUUUUACGCUGUUUACCAACUUUUUUACACGUCAAGACGGGGGUCUCUUUUUCUACGGUAGGUUGUUAUACGUAUCAACCCAAGGAACCUUUGUAGUGGGAACUUGAAAUACUGUCGAACCUUGUCUACGAAGGUGUGUAUUGGAGGGAUCAAGCUAAGAAAGUAAAACGGAUACAACAAAAUCACGAAGGUUCUUAUACACAUGACAUCAGUACGGACCGUCACCCUCGUUCGUGCACCGGGUAGUGUUUUUAACGUUUUUACGUUAUAGAAAUUCGUUUAUACGUAGACCACGGAAGUCUAACACACAAAGAAAUAGUGACUCUGUUUAUUCGUAGAACUAGCUAGAACUAUAUUGAUCAAAGGAGUAGUCCACUCCUUAAGAAGUCGAAAAUGAAGAACUAAAUCAACCAACUACUACAAAAGUACCGAUUACCACGAAAAAAGACAACAAUUUUUUACGUUUACUAAUCCAAG
rnacentral:rRNA from 1 species